UUUCUGCCGUUAAACUAGCAAAAGUGCAUUCGUACAUGCCCUAAACGCACCUGCGCCAGGCACUUCACGUUGUGCGCUUAGAUAGUUAAAAAAAGGGCCCAUAAGAACAUUUGUUGCUACAAAGCU